rnacentral:rRNA from 1 species
CCCUUAGAUGUUCUGGGCCGCACGCGCGCUACACUGACGAAGUCAGCGAGCAUGUCCUACGCCGACAGGUGCGGGGAAUCUUGUCAAACUUCGUCGUGAUGGGGAUUGAUUAUUGAAAUUCUUGAUCAUCAACGAGGAAUACCUUGUAAGCGCGGGUCAUCAUCCCGCGCUGAAUACGUCCCUGCCCUUUGUACACACCGCCCGUCGCUCCUACCGAUUGAGUGGUCCGGUGAGGCUUUGGGAUCUGAGCGGAAAGAGCGUUUCGCUGUUUCUGCUCGGAAAACUCAGUCGAACCUUAUCAUUUAGAGGAAGGAGAAGUCGUAACA